ensembl:lncRNA
GCACCACGUUAACACUCAGCUGUAUACAGGCACCACGUUAACACUCAGCUGUAAUCAGGCACCACGUUAACACUCAGCUGUAUACAGGCACCACGUUAACACUCAGCUGUAAUCAGGCACCACAUUAACACUCAGCUGUAAUCAGGCACCACGUUAACACUCAGCUGUAUACAGGCACCACGUUAACACUCAGCUGUAAUCAGGCACCAUGUUAACACAGAUGUAAUCAGGCACCAUGUUAACACUCAGCUGUAUACAGGCACCACGUUAACACUCAGCUGUAAUCAGGCACCACGUUAACACUCAGCUGUAAUCAGGCACUAUGGGUAAAAUGGGUAAAAGCAUCUGUGUGGGUGAGAAGGAGAGAGGAGAUGAGAGAGGAGGAGGGAGGUGAGAGAGGAGGAGGGAGGAUGUGAGAGAGGAGGAAGGAGGAGUUGAGAGAGGAGGAGGGAGGAUGUGAGAGAGGAGGAGGGAGGAGGUGAGAGAGGAGGAGGGAGGAGGUGAGAGAGGAGGAGGGAGGAGUUGAGAGAGAAGGAGGGCGAAGGGGAGAGAGAAGGAGGAAGGAGGUAAGAGAGGAGGAGGGAGGAGGUAAGAGAGGAGAAGGGAGGAGGUGAGAGAAGAGGAUGGAGGAGGUGAGAGAGGAGGAGAGCGGAGGUGAGAGAGGAGGAGAGAGGAGGAGGGAGGAUGUGAGAGAGGAGGAGGGAGGAUGUGAGAGAGGAGGAGGGAGGAGUUGAGAGAGGAGGAGGGAGGAGGGGGGAGAGAGAAGGAGGGAGGAGGUGAGAGAGGAGGAGAGAGGAGGUGAGAGAGGAGGAGGGAGAAAUAUGCCAGCCGUGCAUCACUUAAUUAUUAAUAGCAGCAUCCAAAUAAAAACGCAGACCUUGUCUGAAUUAACGGAUGGCUGAGUCCAAGCCUCCCGCACCACGUCCCAGGGAGCCACGGGUGCUGGAGGAGAGAGUGUCGCUACACCACACCGCUGCACUCAAAACACUCCACAGCCUGGUUUCACUUCCUGAAGUGUGUGUGUGUGUGUGUGUGUGUGUUUUAGGGGGCAUUGAGUUCACCUCGUCCGAACACAGGAAGAUUGGUGAAAGGUAUCCUGGUUGUUUUUCUGUCUCAACACUGUGCUUCCCACCUGAGCCUGGUGAAUUGCCUGUUAAAUAGAACCUAAAUGCUUCUGUCAUUGUCACUGUGCUGCUUCUCCAGACCAAUUUAUUCUGGUAGGGCUGUUAGUCUGGUAGGGCUGUUAGUCUGGUAGGGCUGUUAGUCUGAUAGGGUUGUUGGUCUGAUAGGGUUGUUAGUCUCAUAGGGCUGUUAGUCUGGCAGGGC